rnacentral:rRNA from 1 species
AUGAACGCUGGCGGCGUGUCUAAGGCAUGCAAGUCGAGCGACGUGUUCCCCGCAAGGGGAAUUACGAGCGGCAAACGGGUGAGUAACACAUUGGUAACCUGCCUCCAAGUCGGAGAUAGCCUGCCGAAAGGCGGAUUAAUAUCCGAUAGCAACGCGAUGACACAAGUCUUUGCGUUUAAAGAUUUAUUGCUUGGAGAGGGACCUAUGUCUGAUUAGCUUGUUGGCGGGGUAAUGGCCCACCAAGGCUUUGAUCAGUAGCAGGCGUGAGAGCGUGACCUGCCUCACUGGGACUGAGAUACUGCCCAGACACCUACGGGUGGCUGCAGUCGAGAAUAUUCCACAAUGGGCGAAAGCCUGAUGGAGCGACGCCGCGUGCAGGAUGAAGGUUUUCGGAUUGUAAACUGCUUUUCUCAGGGAAGAAUUUGUGACGGUACCUGAGGAAUAAGAGGUUGCUAACUCUGU